GGGGUUGUGGCUCAGUGGUAGAGUGCUUAUCUAGCAUGUAUGAGGCACUGGGUUCGAUUCUCAGCACCA
rnacentral:tRNA from 1 species